rnacentral:lncRNA from 1 species
GAGUGCAUGCGGGAAUUGGAAAUAGAUGUCCUGCCCAUGGAGGCCAGAGAGCUGUGUCCACAAAAGGACAGGGUGUGACCAGCCAGAGUUGCCGGAGUUUUGGCAACUUGUGUCUUCCAUAAUAGAGCUGGGGCAUUGAUGGAAAUGGAGGGUGCUAGAACCUUGUGACUUUGGCCAGGCACCAAUCAUCUGCCUCCUUCUGUGCCUGCCUGGCUGCCCCUACCCUGGGGCUCCCUCCUAGCCCCCACCUCACCUACUGGCUCACUGAGACAGAGCCAAACAUGAAAGGGAAGGUGACGGCCUGGCCAUAGGGCCCAGGAAAAUGCAGGUAUCAUUAACAGCCUGGAGCACUGUGGCCUGUCCACUCUCAACCCUCUGCUGCCCACCCCUUCCUGGAAUAGACCCCAGGCCACAUACAGAGGGGGCAAGCCCAAGGACUCAACUGGCCCUCCGAACGCUAUCCCACUUUCCAGCCAGGAUUGAAGGAGAUCCCAUCUUGGGUCUAAAGGAAUGGGGGUGAAGACUGCAUCUUGUCGUUCCAGUUCCACCCCAUUCUGGCAUGGGAAGCAUGUGUGGGCUUCUACUCUAUGGGAGAUUCAUAGCCUCAAUCCUUAAGGAAUUCUCAAUCUGAAAGGAAAACACAAACCCUGACCUCAGGGAGCUCCCAGUUUGACAGUGGAGACAGAGAGGCCCUGCAUCAAGUAGAAAAACAACCCCCACUGCUCUCAAGCACACAGCAAUGAAGAUAUGUAUCCUUGGUGCUACAGGCAAAUGCUGACGAUACGACAGUGAAUACAACAUGAAAAAACAAGCACACUUCUCACCCCUAUGGAGCUUUAUUCUGGUCAGGCAGAAGGAGAAGGAAAUGUAAACAUGCAAGGAGCAACUUUUUGGCACUCCCAUUUUGCAGAAGAGGAAACAGCCUGCCUAGGUCUGCUGAUUCCUGUCCUGGUGAGCUCACUGCCCCAUACUCCCACCCUUGUACACAAAUGGAGGUGCUCUUACAGAAGUUCUGAGCCUGAUUCUGCUGCUGCUUCUCCAGCUAACCUUAGGUACAACUCUCCCCCUCCCAAGGCCUCAGUUUCCUCAUCUAGGUAAUGGGAAUCCUAAUGCCUUUCUUUUCUCUGCAUAGGCUUAAACCAGAUGGCCCAUGACAAGCCCUUCCAAUUCCCGUGUCCCAGAGAUGCCAAAUUUGAGCCCCAGUCACCCACCAUGAACCUGCCACCUAUUCCAGGAACCUGGCCAGGAAGCCCAGGAUGGGCUUCUUACCUUGUCUUCCCAUUGGGGUGGGUCUCAGAGGAGGCCAAGCUGGGCAGAGCUCUCUCUCUCAUUGGCCCUCAGGUACCACCCCCAUUAGUGCUGACUUACAGCUUUGCACUGCUGCUGACAUCAGCACCCAUCUGUCUGUUGUGGUAAGAGAGGCCUCCUAGGGAAACAGGUUUGCUAAAUCUCAGCCAGGAAGGACCUCCCAGCUGGGCUGUUGGGGCAAGUUUGGUAAAUACCCUCAACAGGCACCUUUGGAAGCAGGAGCGGGUGAUCAGAAAGCAAUGCCUCCCCCAAGCAACCCUCUCACCUCCCUAGCCACCCCCAACCAUGAUCAAAUUCCUAUCCCUGGCUUUGGACUUUCCAGCUGGUUCCCUGAGCUACUCAGCCCAUCAUCCCAAUAACCAGCUUCCUACAACGUCCAUCUCCUAUACCACCAUCCCCCCAACCACUGCUGUCACCAUCCUCUGUCACCUCCAAUCAUCAAAACCCCAUCCGCCCCCACCUUCCUCCUCCUUCUUCAUUCUCAUCCCUACCAUGAGCAGCACUCAUCCAUUCCAACUCAAAAGGUCACUAUCUAAUCCACGAUCUAUCUUACUUCCUGCCUAAAUUCUUUAUGGAGCAAUAAACUUCCACUGGAAUGAUACCCAGACCACAAAUCUGGGACCCAGUGACAGUUCCAGGAGGCCAUGGUGCACCGUCUGUGGCUCAGUUGGUUUCCAAUGGGGUCUAUUCAUAUGGCAUCUGUAAACACUCACAUGAUGCAGAUGCUUCCCUUACUUAAUACCCAUCUGGCCCAGGGUGGGCUGAGGGUGGCCCAGCUGGAUGCAGCACUAUCCCUAAUCUCUCAGAGCAAGCAGCAAGCAGCAAGCAGCAUACCUGGCUUGUUUAAACACACACUUUGCCAGAUGCUGAAGAACAACUAAAAGUGAUCACAGUAGAUCUGCUACCCUGAUCAAUCUUGCCUGUCUAAAGCUCAGAUAAGUCUGUAUAGGACUCUGUUUCCAAAUCUGUCAUUUCUGAUGGUACAUAUGCUGGACUUUUCCUUGCAGGGCAAGCUAAAGUCAAUGGAGUUCACACCCCAAGCAAGAGAAGAGCUUGCCCUAGCCUUCAUCCAGCCUCAUGUGUCUGCGAUUUGGCUAGAAAUUGUUCAGGGGAAUCUUAAUUAGCAUUCACCUGUGGUGUUGUGUUAAAAAAACAAAAAAACAAAAAACACCUCACUUCAGGUUCCAAAGUCUGAGUUGGAGUAAAAAGAUUGUUGGAAUCCAGGAUCCACCAUACAACUGCUAAGCCUGUUUCUUCAUCUGUAAAAUGAGAAUGACAAUGUCUACCUCAUAGGAUAGGUUUGAGGGUAGAGUGUGUUAAAGAACUCUUAAGGACCUUUUGUCAGACCCAGCUUGACCACAAGAUUGAGCUGAAUCUGAAUAAACAUUCUAGAACACUGCCAGAAAAGCUACAUUUACUAUCUCGUCUGACCUAUGUAAUUUGCAGAGUUCUUUUUACAUGGGUUACUUCCAAAAUCAAAAUUAACGUUAUUACUGAUGCUCAGUUAAAACAGCGUAGUAACUUCUGAUUAUUUCUCU